GCAUAUCAAUAAGCGGAGGAAAAGAAACCAACAGGGAUUGCCCCAGUAACGGCGAGUGAAGCGGCAAAAGCUCAAAUUUGAAAUCCUGCGGGAAUUGUAAUUUGAAGGUUUCGUGGUCUGAGUCGGCCGCGCCCAAGUCCAUUGGAACAUGGCGCCUGGGAGGGUGAGAGCCCCGUAUGGCGCACGCCGACUCUUUGCACCGCGGCUCCGACGAGUCGAGUUGUUUGGGAAUGCAGCUCUAAGUGGGUGGUAAAUUCCAUCUAAAGCUAAAUAUUGGCGAGAGACCGAUAGCGAACAAGUACAGUGAUGGAAAGAUGAAAAGCACUUUGAAAAGAGAGUGAAACAGCACGUGAAAUUGUUGAAAGGGAAGGGCUUGCAAGCAGACACGGUUUUACCGGGCCAGCGUCGAAAAGGGGGGAGGAACAAGAACUCGAGAAUGUGGCGCGCACCUUCGGGUGCGCGUGUUAUAGCUCGUGUUGACGCCUCCAUCCUUUUUCGAGGCCUGCGAUUCUAGGACGCUGGCGUAAUGGUUGCAAGCCGCCCGUCUUGAAACACACGGACC
rnacentral:rRNA from 1 species